rnacentral:rRNA from 1 species
AGUGAACGCUGGCGGUAGGCCUAACACAUGCAAGUCGAACGGCAGCACAGUAAGAGCUUGCUCUUACGGGUGGCGAGUGGCGGACGGGUGAGGAAUACAUCGGAACCUACUUUUUCGUGGGGGAUAACGUAGGGAAACUUACGCUAAUACCGCAUACGACCUACGGGUGAAAGCAGGGGAUCUUCGGACCUUGCGCGAUUGAAUGAGCCGAUGUCGGAUUAGCUAGUUGGCGGGGUAAAGGCCCACCAAGGCGACGAUCCGUAGCUGGUCUGAGAGGAUGAUCAGCCACACUGGAACUGAGACACGGUACAGACUCCUACGGGAGGCAGCAGUGGGGAAUAUUGGACAAUGGGCGCAAGCCUGAUCCAGCCAUACCGCGUGGGUGAAGAAGGCCUUCGGGUUGUAAAGCCCUUUUGUUGGGAAAGAAAAGCAGCAGGUUAAUACCCCGCUGUUCUGACGGUACCCAAAGAAUAAGCACCGGCUAACUUCGUG